rnacentral:rRNA from 1 species
CCUACGGGGUGUAGCAGUGGGGGAUAUUGCACAAUGGGGGAAACCCUGAUGCAGCGACGCCGCGUGGGUGAAGAAGCGCCUCGGCGCGUAAAGCCCUGUCAGCAGGGAAGAAAAUGACGGUACCUGAAGAAGAAGCCCCGGCUAACUACGUGCCAGCAGCCGCGGUAAUACGUAGGGGGCAAGCGUUAUCCGGAUUUACUGGGUGUAAAGGGGGCGCAGACGGCGAUGCAAGCCAGGAGUGAAAGCCCGGGGCCCAACCCCGGGACUGCUCUUGGAACUGCGUGGCUAGAGUGCAGGAGGGGCAGGCGGAAUUCCUGGUGUAGCGGUGAAAUGCGUAGAUAUCAGGAGGAACACCGGUGGCGAAGGCGGCCUGCUGGACUGCAACUGACGUUGAGGCCCGAAAGCGUGGGGAGCAAACAGGAUUAGAUACCCCAGUAGUC